rnacentral:rRNA from 1 species
CCUACGGGAGGCAGCAGUGAGGAAUAUUGGUCAAUGGACGAGAGUCUGAACCAGCCAAGUAGCGUGCAGGAUGACGGCCCUAUGGGUUGUAAACUGCUUUUAUACAGGGAUAAAGUGCACUACGUGUAGUGUUUUGUAGGUACUGUAUGAAUAAGGACCGGCUAAUUCCGUGCCAGCAGCCGCGGUAU